CACGUAGGGUGCGAGCGUUGUCCGGAAUUAUUGGGCGUAAAGAGCUCGUAGGCGGUGUGUCGCGUCGGCCGUGAAAACCUGCAGCUUAACUGUGGGCUUGCGGUCGAUACGGGGCAUCACUGGAGUUCGGCAGGGGAGACUGGAAUUCCUGGUGUAGCGGUGAAAUGCGCAGAUAUCAGGAGGAACACCGGUGGCGAAGGCGGAUCUCUGGGCCAUUACUGACGCUGAGGCGCGAAAGCUAGGGGGAGCAAACGGG
rnacentral:rRNA from 1 species